UGGCACUGAAUGCUUAAUCUUGAAGUAUGGAGAAUCUUGAAAAGAGAGUCCAAUUUUUGAGAUAACGGCAGAUGUCUCAUGACUCACAGUAAGUCAGAAACAUAACGUUUCAAAAAUGAUGAGAAUUUAUAACAUAUAAUGAGUUAUAUGCUACAACUGUCUCUGCGCAGUUUGCACUUUCUCCCUGUGUCUGCCUGGGAUUGCUCCGGUUUCCUCCCACAGUACAAAGAUGUGCAAGUUUUGCUGAAUUGGCUGUGAAUUGGGAAAAUUUUCCAGAAAAGUCCACUAUUUUUGCAGAGGCAAACCUGCCAGAGAAUUUAUGAAGUUUUAUGCUUUACAAAAGGAACUUCUGACAUGGUAGAUCCAACAAAAAUGAUGAAAAAAAACCAAACUCUUCCAAACAUGUUCAGAUUUAACCAAAACGUUUGAGUCACUGAAUCAUGAAGUUUGAUGGAUUUUUCUUCAGAGUUUUAAAUGUGCAAGAAACUUCACCACAAACCUGCAUUCACAAUAAUAAGGAAAUCACGCUGCACUGGCUCAGUUGUGGACCAGAGCUUCCAGCUGCGUCACAUGCUCAUGCUUACCUGUCUCAGUAUCUUUACUAUCCACACUGUUCUCAUGAAGUUCAAUUAAAGCUUAAGGUUUAGAACUUUACAUUUUGAUUAUGUUAAGUUGGAAGGCUGUAAAUUAUCUAGAGUUCAACAAUUUCAGAUCAUCAAAUAAAAGCUAAAUAUUGCAGAUGCAGGAAAUCUGAAACACAUACUAAGAAUGCUGAAAAACCUCAGCAGGUUUGGUAGCAUCAGUGGAGAGAAAAACAAACUAAUCUUCCAACACCUUUUGGUUUGGAAGGAUUAUACCUUAUGAUUGAAAAUGUUAACUUCACUUCCUGCCACAGAUGCUGCCAGACCUGUUGUGCUUCUCAAGCAUUCUGUAUUAAUUUCAAAUUGUGACCUCUCUGCACUGCAGCUCCUGAUAAUUCUGCUUUCCUCAUUGCUCCUAGCAUAUUUGUUGGAAAUAUUCAUUAAGGUCGUUGAAUUUGUUGUCGUCACCGCAAAAAACAAAAAUUACAUAGAAAAUGUGUCAUGGUAACCAAGAAU